rnacentral:rRNA from 1 species
GGUUAAGCGACUAAGCGUACACGGUGGAUGCCCUGGCAGUCAGAGGCGAUGAAGGGCGUGCUAAUCUGCGAUAAGCGCCGGUAAGGUGAUAUGAACCGUUAUAACCGGCGAUACCCGAAUGGGGAAACCCAGUGUGAUUCGUCACACUAUCAUUAACUGAAUCCAUAGGUUAAUGAGGCGAACCGGGGGAACUGAAACAUCUAAGUACCCCGAGGAAAAGAAAUCAACCGAGAUUCCCCCAGUAGCGGCGAGCGAACGGGGAGGAGCCCAGAGCCUGAAUCAGCAUGUGUGUUAGUGGAAGCGUCUGGAAAGGCGCGCGAUACAGGGUGACAGCCCCGUA